GCCCGGUAGUGGGGGAUAACCUGAGGAAACUCAGGCUAAUACCGCAUACGCCCUACGGGGGAAAGCAGGGGCUCUUUGGACCUUGCGCUAUCGGAUGAGCCUAUGUCGGAUUAGCUGGUUGGUGAGGUAAUGGCUCACCAAGGCGACGAUCCGUAGCUGGUCUGAGAGGAUGAUCAGCCACAUCGGGACUGAGACACGGCCCGAACUCCUACGGGAGGCAGCAGUGGGGAAUAUUGGACAAUGGGCGGAAGCCUGAUCCAGCCAUGCCGCGUGUGUGAAGAAGGCCCUCGGGUUGUAAAGCACUUUCAGUGAGGAAGAAGGCCUUCGGGUUAAUACCCCGGAGGAAGGACAUCACCCACAGCGGG
rnacentral:rRNA from 1 species